GGCUUUAUAGUCAAUGGAUGAUAAUAGACUGCAAUUCUAUAGUAAUGUGAAAUACAUUAAGGCCU
rnacentral:tRNA from 1 species